CUUUGUGAAUUUCGUUAAACGAAUGCCAAAGUGCUAUCUAAACAAGACUUUACUUUGUGAAUUUCGUUAAGGUUCUAAUCUCGUGACCAUCGAUAGGUUUGAUUUGGUAUAACACUAAUACGUAUUCCACUCUGUUAAACUAAAUAUUUAACUACCCGAAAACUCUGCACUAUACACUUACAAUCAAAGUAGAUGCUCAAUCAUCAGAAGAUUCAGAACUAUAAAGUAGAUACUUAGAAUCAAGAUGCUUGUUUAAUCAAGACUAUAUGCUAACAAGGUAAUGACAGUAGAUUGGAAUAAGAGUGAUGAUACGGCACCGAAAGGCUUAAAGAAGUGGCUUAUUUUAUCAAUUGAAGUAAAUUAAGAAAACAUGGUUUCAUAUAUUCGGGUUUAUCCCUUAUUAAAGCUACCUUUGUAAAACAUGGGUUUUAUCCCAUCUAUUUAAUAAAUAAAAUCCGGUGUUUUCUAAA